CCAUCCCUGUUUAUACAUAUAUUAUAAUUUUUAUUAAGUAUUAGCAUAAAUAUUAAAGACUAUAGUCUAUAGCUAUGACUGGCUUGUGCAAAAUAUUGUAAAAAAAUAAAAUGUUCAAAAUAGGAUCAGUAGGUGUAGGUAGUUCUAGAAAUAAUUACCUUCAACAAAUAAACACAUAUAGGUACAACUUUACCUUGAAUCAUUUGGGAAAAAUAAACUAAACUAAUAGUUUACAAACUACGUUUCUAAUUGUAUAUUAUUAAUCCUUUAACAAAAGCAUUAUAUGUGCUACAUGGAGACAAAUUUGUUUGUCUGUAAUUUCUACUCCCAAAUAAAGCAGUUCACAAAUCGUUAAACUGAUUAAACAAUAUUGUCUUCUGCAAACCUCCUACUAUAGCAUUGAAAGGGUGGUUAAAUUCCAUUAAGUUCCACUAAAUAUUAUUUAAUUUUUUUUCAGGUUUAAUAAUUUUAUUAUAUCCAAAUCAUGUAAGAUACCUAGCUGCUACCUUAAUUAUACAGGCUUAUGAAAAUGAAGGAAAAAUAAAACAGGCUCUUAUAGGAAUUAUAACUAAUAAUACUUCUAAAAAUUAGUAAAUAUCUCAAGUUCUCAAAAAACAAAUUAAUCAACCACAUUUACUAUACUGAACAGUUUGAAAAUAUUGAAUUGAAAUAUACUAUAUAUAUACCUACUAGAACACAUUAUGUAUUUAA